rnacentral:misc_RNA from 1 species
AAAUGCGAUAAGUAAUGUGAAUUGCAGAAUUCAGUGAAUCAUCGAAUCUUUGUACGCACCUUGCGCUCCUUGGUAUUCCUUGGAGCAUGCCUGUUUGAGUAUCAUGAAAUCUUCAAAGUAAAUCUUUUGUUAACUCAAUUGGUUUCUACUUUGGUAUUGGAGGUCUUUGCAGCUUCACACCUGCUCCUCUUUGUUCAUUAGCUGGAUCUCAGUGUUAUGCUUGGUUCCACUCGGCGUGAUAAGUUAUCUAUCGCUGAGGACACUGUAAAAGGUGGCCAAGGUAAAUGCAGAUGAACCGCUUCUAAUAGUCCAUUGACUUGGACAAUACUUUUAUGAUCUGAUCUCAAAUCAGGUAGAACUGCCCGCUGAACUUAAGC